CACCGACACGUGACCGGAAGCUUCGGAUGACAACCAGGAAGUGAUUCUACAGACAACAAUCGCAAACUUCACUUCCAUCUCUACAGGUGCUGACACCCGCGGUCUUGGACUCGUCUCUUUGCGCGUCAUGUUUCAUGGAUCCCCGCGCAGCCGGCAGUCGGUGCUCCUGGAAAUAAGCCAGAGUUAUACGAGGAGGUGAAGCUGUACAAGAAUGCCCGGGAGCGAGAGAAGUAUGACAACAUGGCGGAGCUGUUUGCUGUGGUGAAGACGUUGCAGGCCCUGGAGAAGGCUUAUAUCAAAGACUGUGUCUCCCCAGCGAGUACACCGCCGCCUGCUCGCGCCUCCUGGUCCAAUACAAAGCCGCCUUCAAGCAGGUGCAAGGAGCGGAGGUCGGCUCCAUCGAUGACUUCU